AACGAACGCUGGCGGCAUGCCUAACACAUGCAAGUCGAACGAACCCUUCGGGGUUAGUGGCGCACGGGUGCGUAACACGUGGGAAUCUGCCCUUUGCUUCGGAAUAACAGUUAGAAAUGACUGCUAAUACCGGAUGAUGUCGUAAGACCAAAGAUUUAUCGGCAAAGGAUGAGCCCGCGUAGGAUUAGGUAGUUGGUGGGGUAAAAGGCCUACCAAGCCGACGAUCCUUAGCUGGUCUGAGAGGAUGAUCAGCCACACUGGGACUGAGACACGGCCCAGACUCCUACGGGAGGCAGCAGUGGGGAAUAUUGGACAAUGGGCGAAAGCCUGAUCCAGCAAUGCCGCGUGAGUGAUGAAGGCCUCGGUUGUAAG
rnacentral:rRNA from 1 species